rnacentral:rRNA from 1 species
UGCCAGCAGCCGCGGUAAUACGUAGGUGGCGAGCGUUAUCCGGAUUUAUUGGGCGUAAAGCGCGCGCAGGCGGUUGAUCAAGUCCGACGUGAAAUCUCUCGGCUUAACUGGGAGGGGUCGUUAGAAACUGAUCAACUUGAGGCAAUGAGAGGGGUGCAGAAUUCCUGGUGUAGUGGUGGAAUGCGUAGAUAUCAGGAGGAAUACCAGUGGCGAAAGCGGCACCCUGGCAUUGGCCUGACGCUCAUGUGCGAAAGCGUGGGGAGCGAACGGGAUUAGAUA